rnacentral:lncRNA from 1 species
UUUUUUUUUUUUUUUUUUUUGGUGUGGUCUUUUUGCCUUUUCUUGGGCCGCUCCCGCGGCAUAUGGAGGUUCCCAGGCUAGGGGUCUAGUCGGAGCUGUUGCUGCCGGCCUACACCAGAGCCACAGCAACCUGGGAUCCCAGCCGCGACUGUGACCUACAUCAGAGCUCAUGGCAAAUCUGAAUCCUUAACCCAAUGAACAAGGCCAGGGAUCACACUUGAGCCUCAGGAGUGACAAUGCUGAGUCCUUAACCUGCUAGGCCACCAGGGAACUCCUCAUACACAUUUUUUUUUUUUUUAAAGGAGAGAAAGAUAUGGGUUUUCUAAACCAUCAAGUAACAUCCAAGUCUUGGGAACUUUACAAUUACAAUAAAAGGCUGAGAUCCUGCUGUUUAGCACUGGGAGCUAUAUCUAGUCACUUACGAUGGAGCAUGAUAAUGUGAGAAAAAAGAAUGUAUACAUGUAUAGUAACUGGGUCACCUUGCGGUACAGUAUAAAACUGACAGAACACUGUAAACCAGCUAUAAUGGAAAAAAUUUAAAAAAAUUUAAAAAGUAAAAAUAAAUAAAUAAAUAGGCAAUGCAAUUAUGAAUUUCUACAAUUCGAAUGAUAUGUGAGGAAGUCACUUCUUACUGGGCAAAUUACAUAAAGCUGUACCCAAGGCCUGAUUUGACUGCAGUGAGAGAAACAGUUCCUCAUUAUACCUUAGACAUAUAUAUAUUUCUGGUACAGCAAGCAGAAGUCUUAUACACCAAAGGUUUUCACUUCUUUAGAUCACAUUGCCUCUAGCUUUUUGAACUAGUCUAAAUUUUUUUCAGUGAUUUAAGAAUUACUGUUCCACUAAGUCAUUUGGAACUACUCAUAUGAUACUUUCUUUGAAGGUCAGCUUAAACUGGCCAUUUUCUAAUAUCACAUUAAUCUCUGCUAAAUUAUAAUGCAAUAAUGUCUUUAUUUGAGAACUAUAAUUUGAGCUGAUGUAUUCUCUAAUUGGGACAUAUGUCCCUAGAUUUAAUAAUUACAUAUUCUUUCCAAUCUAGUUUUAAUUUUGUACUUGGUAUGAAAUUUAUAUUCCAGGAGCAUGGAAAGCUCUUUCCUCCUAUUUUAGGUUUUGCUGGGUUUGGGGCAUUAUGCAUUGAAUUGCUCUCAGAACAUCCCAAUUGCUAAUCAUAAAGAGAUUAGGGAAUACUUCCUUAUCCUGAACAACCAAGCUCCCUCGUACACUAUUUCUCCUUUUGUUUGGACAUCUGCUAAUUUUAUAAUUAAUAAAAGAUAAAAAAUAAGCAAUGAGGUCCUACUGUAUAGCACAGAGAACUAUAUCCAAUCUCUUGAUGGAAGAUAAGAAAAGGAAUGUAUAUC